rnacentral:tRNA from 1 species
GCCGGAUUAGCUCAGCUGGUAGAGCGGCUGAUUUGUAAUCAGUAGGUCGGGGGUUCAAAUCCCUCAUCCGGCACCA